rnacentral:lncRNA from 1 species
GGGGUUUUCUCAAUUCCGUGCACCAAAAUACAAAAGAAGAUUACCAGGAGGUAGAGAAGGGUGUCGCGAGUCCGCCCAGGGUGUUCUUUCGGCCGGAGGGAGUACGAGGAGCGCGCACCACGGAGAUGAACAAGGUUGGCCCCGGUGAGAUCCAACCAAGCUUCACUGGGGCGUCUAGGGCUUGCUUUUUGCGACUUCGAUGCAAACAAAGGCUGCGGCUUUGGAGGGGAAACUUUAUAGGACGUUGGUUGGCGAAAAAGGCAAGGAGAUCCCGCUGCUUUCGCGAUUGGAAACGGCUGCACAGAGCCCACGUCGAACACGGCAGGAGGUAGGGGAAAGGGGGCGCGGCUGACGGGUGGGCCCCGGCCGUCAGCGGGCCAUGGAGGGGGAAACGGGUGAGCGCGCAGGCGGCCUGGCCGCUGGACCUUUCUCGGGCUGAGAGCGGAAGUGGGCCGGGGUGAGGGGGUGAACUGGCUGGGCGCUGGCUUUCUGUUUUUUUUUCUUUUCUGUUUUCUUUUUCCUAUUUCUCCUUUGUUUUCUAAAGUCUUUUUGAAAAGAGAUUUUAAAUCCUUAUGGGAGAAAUACAAAAUACAU